CUUACCAUGCAGUCGACGAUGAACCUCACUUGUGGGGGGAUUAGUGGCGAACGGGUGAGUAACACGUGAGUAACCUGCCCUUAACUCUGGGAUAAGCCUGGGAAACUGGGUCUAAUACCGGAUAUGACUCCUCAUCGCAUGGUGGGGGGUGGAAAGCUUUAUUGUGGUUUUGGAUGGACUCGCGGCCUAUCAGCUUGUUGGUGAGGUAAUGGCUCACCAAGGCGACAACGGGUAGCCGGCCUGAGAGGGUGACCGGCCACACUGGGACUGAGACACGGCCCAGACUCCUACGGGAGGCAGCAGUGGGGAAUAUUGCACAAUGGGCGCAAGCCUGAUGCAGCGACGCCGCGUGAGGGAUGACGGCCUUCGGGUUGUAAACCUCUUUCAGUAGGGAAAAAGCGAAAGUGACGGUACCUGCAGAAAAAGCGCCGGCUAACUACGUGCCAGCAG
rnacentral:rRNA from 1 species